AGUGAACGCUGGCGGUAGGCUUAACACAUGCAAGUCGAACGGCAGCACAGUAAGAGCUUGCUCUUACGGGUGGCGAGUGGCGGACGGGUGAGGAAUACAUCGGAAUCUACUUUUUCGUGGGGGAUAACGUAGGGAAACUUACGCUAAUACCGCAUACGACCUACGGGUGAAAGCAGGGGAUCUUCGGACCUUGCGCGAUUGAUUGAGCCGAUGUCGGAUUAGCUAGUUGGCGGGGUAAAGGCCCACCAAGGCGACGAUCCGUAGCUGGUCUGAGAGGAUGGUCAGCCAGACUGGGACUGAGACACGGUCCAGACUCCUACGGGAGGCAGCAGUGGGGAAUAUUGGACAAUGGGCGCAAGCCUGAUCCAGCCAUACCGCGUGGGUGAAGAAGGCCUUCGGGUUGUAAAGCCCUUUUGUUGGGAAAGAAAAGCAGCAGGUUAAUACCCCGCUGUGCUGACGGUAGCCAAAGAAUAAGCACCGGCUAACUUCGUG
rnacentral:rRNA from 1 species